GAUGAACGCUAGCGGCAGGCUUAAUACAUGCAAGUCGUGGGGCAGCAUGAAUGUAGCAAUACAUUUGAUGGCGACCGGCAAACGGGUGCGGAACACGUACACAACCUUCCUAUAAGUGGGGAAUAGCCCAGAGAAAUUUGGAUUAAUACCCCGUAACAUAACGAUGUGGCAUCACAUUGUUAUUAUAGCUUCGGCGCUUAUUGAUGGGUGUGCGGCUGAUUAGAUAGUUGGCGGGGUAACGGCCCACCAAGUCUACGAUCAGUAGCUGAUGUGAGAGCAUGAUCAGCCACACGGGCACUGAGACACGGGCCCGACUCCUACGGGAGGCAGCAGUAAGGAAUAUUGGUCAAUGGACGCAAGUCUGAACCAGCCAUGCCGCGUGAAGGAUUAAGGUCCUCUGGAUUGUAAACUUCUUUUAUCUGGGACGAAAAAAGGCGAUUCUUCGUCACUUGACGGUACCAGAUGAAUAAGCACCGGCUAACUCCGUGCCAGCCGCCGCAGUAAUAC
rnacentral:rRNA from 1 species